CUACAUAUAAGCUAUAUAAUAAUAGUGGACAUCCUCAAAAGCAUGAGGGCCUACCAAAUCUAGAUUAAAGCUCUCCACGUCUGGAUAGCUACAACGUCGUACUGUAAACUCGAACAUCCACCUUUGCUUACCCCUAAAAGUAGAUAUUGUAUGGGAUUACUACACACUUGUACUAUGUAUGGGUAUAUGCAAGCACACACCAAGGACAUGCAUAAGUAAGAAUAGCUCUUUCCGAACAACAUAAUUUAUGAAAAGUCAAGUCAGUGAAGUUUCCAAAUUUUUUUUAGCAAAGUCAACAGAAUGGAAAAAUUUGGAUUAGGAAAGUAGUGGACUUUCGAAAUUUGGAUUAGGAAAGUCAUGCCAUGAGAAUAACAUGCAUCAUUGUACUUAUCAUUUUUUAAGCUGCACAUAACAUACUGCACGUAUCAUAUCACGUAGUUCAUAUCAUUCUUUCAUAUGCCAUGAGACCUUGGAAUCAAGGACUUGACAUUAGAACUUCCCAGAAUGAUUUCUUUACAUAUGGGACCUCAACUAGGAGCCUUCUUCAGCAAACACAGAGUCUGCUUCGUUAGUUUAUAUGUACUUCAUUUUGAUUCAUUUAUAUACUAGUGCAAUCACCAGUCAUGCCUAGGAUGAAGUUUAGGACUCUCACCUAGUUUGUAGUGCAAUGACGAAGAACAACCUAGUGUCAUUACUUAAGUCUAGAUCACCUCUUGAUUCUCCUAUCCAAAAACCUUGUGUAUCAAUUAUUUUAUUUUGUGCAUCAUUUAAGGCUGGCCUAAUUCUUUUUUUUCGAAACUUUAACCUUAAUCUACAUAGAUCAUGUGAGCAUCAUGAAAUAAUGUGUCUUUCCCACACCGAAUGAGAUGGAAUCACCUACCUAAGUGACCCGAACAUGCUAGGCUAUAUAGGGAGUUGAAACCUACUCGUUCGCUAUAUUGGCAAUAUAGGUUCAAAGACUAGAAGAUAUAAUGAGACCCAUACCCGGCAUGCCGGACAGUCUCAUCACAUGAGAGUUACGUGAACCUCUGCCCUUCCCGAAUGAAGGCAUCACCGCUCAUAGCUAGCCUAUGGGUGCUAAGUAUAAAGUUCCAUUACAUUCAACUCAUACGUCAUGGAAGCUGGCUUCUAGUAUGAGGAUAUAAUAGCUCAUUAAAUGAUUUCUCAUCUCAUAAUUAGUGUUAAGUAUGCAUUAACUUCGAUACAUUCAUUAGAGUGUUCAUAGAGACUAAUCUUUUCAUUAGCUUUACACUCUCAUUGGUAUGUACGUUUUGGUAACAUUUACUUAUGCUCAUUUGAGAUUGCUCUCAUCUUUCACAUUAUAACAUUAGCAAAUUUACUUUUCCUAAUUACUCACCACUUCACGUGAUGUUCAUUUCAUCAUAUGCCAAUGCACUUGGCAAUUUAGUGUUUUUCACACUGUUACCUAACCCUUCUAGAGUUACAUCAUUUUAUCGCAUACAACUUAGGCUCGCUUACUUUUCAAUGUAUGCUAGACUUAUGAGUCCACACAUACAAGCCAUGAGACUUCAUUCAUAGUUUGUCUAAGUGAUUCAUGUUUACCCAAUAUUAUAUGGUACAAGAGUUAUGCAACAUGUAGAUAUGCCAAGAUAUUAUUUUCGAUCUUUAGAGGCAGCAUUCAUUAAAUAUUUAUUUACGUAUGACUUAUGUGUCCAUACAAAAUUUGGAGAGGGAACCCGAUUUUUAAUCCCUUGGACAACACUCAAUCUUAUUUUAAACUUGAUAAUUGCAUUUUUCAAAUCUGGGGGAACCUAGUUCGAUCCCCAUUAACCCCAUAAUAUUUUUAUUUCUAUUUCUCCUCUCCUUUUUCAUUUGUGUCAAGGAGGUUGUGGGUUCAAUCCCCCACAAGCUAAUUAUUUUUCUUUCAAUUUAUCUCUUGACUUUCUCACCUAUCCAAGAGGUUGUGGGUUCAAUCCCCACUCUCCACAUUUAUUUUCUCCUAGAUUUUUCUCCUGACUCUCUAAUCCAUUCAAGAGGUUGUGGGUUAAAUCCCCACUCACCACAUCUAUUUUUCCUUGCAUUUUUCUCACGAAAUUUUUAUGAAUUUUUUAUUUGGUGAGAAAUUGGUUUAAUACCCAAUGAGCUUACAUUUUUUUAAUUUUUUUUAAACGAAGUUUAUUUUUUAAAAGUUGGUUAGUCUUAAUCUUUUGUUGAUUUUUUUUGUAGAUUUCAUGUAAUGAUGUCUUGGGUUCAAUCCUUUGUCAUUUAACUUAUUUUACUUUCACUUAUCAUUGCUUUUUAUACCACUUCAAUUGGACGAAUCAAACCUCCCAAAUGCUGAUAAUUAAUUCACAAUUUUCAGCUCCUUGUUAUCGUCAUUUGUUCAUUAGAUUUUAGUACGUUUCACGCAUCAUUUGGUGCAUGUUUAAGUAUUUUUUUAAUGUUUAUAUCCAGACAAGAAUUACCAUAAAAUUUAACAACAUCACACCACUUUUUCACAUCAUACUUUACACAAACAUUUGCACACACAUAACUUUCACAUACUUUCGGUUGCCAUAAAUCAAAAUUCUUACAUUUCCAAAUACAUAAUCAUGAACACAUUAUAAGAAAAAUCACACUUCAUACUUAAACUAACUGCAAAAAUACCAACAACAUGAUGUCUAACCUUUUUCAGAAUGAUAUCAGAGGGAUACUAGGAAAAGAAAUUCAACAAGAACGGGAACAACCCUACUUUCGAAAUUCGUUGAAUUCGGGGAAACCAAAUUCUCUUGGAGAAAGGAGUCCAGGAGUGAAACCCAUACUUGACUUUUGUUUUCUUCAAUGAAACACCUGCUGUCCAAAACCAUCUCAAAAUUAAUGUCUACGUCCCAAAACAUAAACACAAAAUUCUACGGAAAACCCUUCUAUUUGCUUUACAUUUUUGGUUAGCUGGUUUAUGUUUUAGACGUUUAAAUUCUACAAGUAUGAAGAAUUUUUGCUUGUGUAUUUUUGUCUGCUAUAUUU
rnacentral:lncRNA from 1 species